CGCACGGCUGAGUAACACGUGGGAACCCGCCCCCCGGUGGGGGAUAACGCGACGAAAGUUGCGCUAAUCCCGCAUACGUCCUUCGGGGGAAAGCGCAGUGCGCGCCGGGGGAGGGGCCCGCGGCCCAUCAGGUCGUUGGUGGGGUAAGGGCCUACCAAGCCGAUGACGGGUAGCUGGUCUGGGAGGAUGACCAGCCAGACUGGGACUUAGACACGGUCCAGACUCCUACGGGAGGCAGCAGCAAGGAAUUUUCGGCAAUGGGCGCAAGCUGACCGAGCAACGCCGCGUGCGGGAUGACGGCCUUCGGGUUGUAUACCGCUUUUCGGGGGGACGACCCUGACGGUACCCCCGGAACAAGCCCCGGCUAACUCUGUGCCAGCAGCCGCGGUAAGACAGAGGGGGCGAGCGUUGUCCGGAGUCACUGGGCGUAAAGCGCGCGCAGGCGGCAACCUAAGUGUCGUGUGAAAGCCCCCGGCUCAACCGGGGGAGGCCAUGGCAAACUGGGUCGCUCGAGCUGCGGAGAGGCCCCUCGAAUUGCCGGUGUAGCGGUGAAAUGCGUAGAGAUCGGCAGGAAGACCAAGGGGGAAGCCAGGGGGCUGGCCGCAGCUGACGCUGAGGCGCGACAGCGUGGGGAGCAAACCGGAUUAGAUACCCGGGUAGUCCACGCCGUAAACGAUGACCACUCGGCGUGCGGCGACUAUUGACGUCGCGGCGCGCCCUAGCUCACGCGAUAAGUGGUCCGCCUGGGAACUACGAGCGCAAGCUUAAAACUCAGAGGAAUUGACGGGGGCCCGCACAAGCAGCGGAGCGUGUGGUUUAAUUCGACGCAACCCGAAGAACCUUACCCAGACUGGACAUGACGGUGCAGACGGCGGAAACGUCGUCGCCUGCGAGGGC
rnacentral:rRNA from 1 species